CUCUCUCGGGGACUGUUUUCGUUAAUCUCGCAAUGGUUUGGGAUUCAUGGGCUGCAUCCAAAGUGAUUGUCUUUUCGUGACAACUCCUUCAGAAUAGGGUUCCAACUCGGUAAAACCUUUGUCGGUGGAGGGUGACGGUAGGAUCAGAUACCUUGAUCGAGUACCAGAGGAUGAAGAAAUUGAAGAUGCUGCUGAAGACGAGAAUGAAAAAUACCCGAUAACUGUCAAUUUAUUUACUAUUUUUGUAUCUUCGAUUAAAUGCAUCUG
rnacentral:lncRNA from 1 species